rnacentral:lncRNA from 10 species
UAAGUAAAAAUAAAAUUCAAAUCGGUUACCUUAGUUUGGAAACUUUUCAAAGAAGUAGUCCACGAGAACUACCUUGAAAGAGCAAAACCAGCCAGGUGCAGGGGCUCACGCCCAUAAUCCCAGCACUCUGGGAGGCCCAGGUGGGUGGAUCUCGUGAGGUCAGGAGUUCAAGACCAGCUUGGCCAACAUGGUGAAACCCCAUCUCUGCUGAAAAUACAAAAGUUAGCUGAAAAUACAAAAGUGGCACAUGCCUGUUGGGAGGCAGAGGUUGCAGUGAGCCAAGAUUGCGCCAUUGCACUCCAAUCUGGGGAACAAGAGCAAAACUCUGUCUGAAAAAAAAAAAGCGACACCACAUGGGAGGAUGUUUCUUGGGGGAGGUGUGCUAUGCCCGAGCAGGCUCCAGCACCAGGGGCGCUGGUGUGUCAGGAGCGCGCCUCCAGGCCGGUGUGAACUCUGCAACUUCACAUUGUGCCUCCUGCCGCCGCUGCUGCUUCCCCGAGCCCCAAGCUCAACCUGGAGCAUGAGCUCCCACCCUGAGGAGGAGGCUGUCAAUACUGUGUUUCUUUCCAGGGAGGCAACGGGUGGGUGCGAUGUUGUCACUUAAGUUGCCACCUCUGCAUAAGAGCUCUCUGAUCAGAAAGCAGUUUCUUUGUUGACCCCAGCCAGCCUUGGCUCUCGGGUUGGGAAAUACAGUCACGGUAUCCAUGGAGACCUCUUGAGGUGGAGACGGGCGUUAAAUCCUUCUCAGGCAGUCUGAGGUGGCCAGAGUCUGAAGCAAGCAGCCUCUAUGGAGCGAGGGGAGCAGGUGGGCCCAGCCUGAGCGGGGCCUCUGCACAGCCAGCUUUCCCCCACACCUGUCUCCAGCCAGGGCACCCACAGGCCCUUUCUCUCCCAGGAUGAAGCCUGCUGGGAGCGUGAAUGACAUGGCCCUGGAUGCCUUCGACUUGGACCGGAUGAAGCAGGUGAGCAUGCCCUGUGCCCUUCCCUCAAGAGGCUGAGGGCAGCCAGCAGGCGGGGGACCGUCUCUGACCAGCAUGGCCAGGCAGGCCCUGGGGGCCCACAUGUAGCUGCCAAAAGGCCAGUCAGGGAGCAGCCACGGCAGAAAGGGGGUGCCCAAGCCUGUCCUUUGUCCCCAGCCCCUGCCAUCACCAGAACUAGGAUGUCCCUCAACCUUUCUGGGCACCUCCCUCAGGCCUGCCUCUGGGGCUUUCUGCCCCGAGGAAGCCCUUAGUUUCAGUGGCGUCUACCUGAGGGAGGUGGCAGCAGGAUUUUCCCAGGCCUCCCAUGCCGUCCCCCCUCAGCGUGGGAAGGGGGCCACGAGGAGACAAGGGUGACAGAUGCAACUCUGGAGAGGCCCAGGAGACCCCAAGCCCUUUGGACAUGGCCCAGCCCAGGCCGGCUUUUCCGUCUCCACUGCCUGUCCCUUCACCUGGACACUCCUCUCCCAACAGGAGAUCCUAGAGGAGGUGGUGAGAGAGCUCCACAAGGUGAAGGAGGAGAUCAUCGACGGUGAGUGCAGCCCCACCGGGGAGGGUGGCACCCAGGUGUGGCCGCAGGACAAGGGUCCCUGUCACCCAGGCUGGGGGCCUCCAGUUUUGAGCUGGAGCCCAUACUGCACUGGGCCCUGUGAGAGAUUUCAUUCUUACCAUCUCUAGUUGAGGAAACAGGCUCAGGAAAGCUGAAAGCUAAGUGGCUUGCCUAAGAAUUUGUAGCUCCCUGGUAGCAUGACACCCGAAUCUGACCUUCCACAUCCCCGGCACCUUCCUGGAAGACCCACGUGGGAAGAGCAUGGAGGGGAGACCCCAGCAUCGUUCCAGAGCCAGGUCUGGAGGAGCCACCUGAGCUGCUGUCAUUCCACCCCCUGGCGGUUUAUACUGCCUUCUUGAUACUGCCACCUCCAGUCACUGGUGUUGGGCUUCUGAGGUGACCACUCUGCCUUCCUGGGGGUACAGGAAGACCAAGGUCUACAGAAGCACCUUCCAGGCUUGAGCUCGUUCACAGCCUGCCUGGCCCUGGGCUGGGGAACAGGCAGGGAGCAGCCUCUGGCUCCAGAGCAGGGUGGGUCUCAAUGCAUCACAUCCGUCCUUCCGGUUCCCAGCAGAGCCUUUGAAUGCUCUGCCUCAGAUCUGCAGCCAGAGGAAAAGGGGGAGUGGGCAGGGCAGACUCAGUCUAGGGACGAGCUAUGCAGCACAGCCAGUGCCAGCUCCCCACGUGCCUCCCCAACCAGGGUGAUAAAGGCUGACACCUGGGUGUGUAGCUGGGUCUGGCCCCCAGGGCAUCACAGUGACCGGGGCAAAAGGGUCCCACAAGCGCACAGGGGUGGAGGCUGAUGGCAGAGGGAAGAGGCAGGUGGGAGCCCAAAGACCCAGGCCUCCUCCCCCAGCCGGCCCACCCUUGUUUGAG